UGAAUAACAAAUAAUGAAAAGAAGUAAAAAAUGAAAAGAAAGUGAAAUAAUAAGAAAAAAGAAAGCAAACUAGACUCGUAGAAGGAAAAAAAGGAAAUGAAGAUGGAAAUGUGUGAUGGGAGGAAGGGAAGAAGAAAAUAACAGGUAAUGACUUAAUGAAAAGAAGUAAAAAAUGAAAAAAAGUGAAAUAAAAAGAAAUAAAUAGAAAGCAAAUCAGACUCGUAAAAGCAAAACAAAAAAAAGGAAAUGAGGAAGGAAAUGUAUGAUGAGAGGAAGGAAAAAAAUAACACAGAGUAACAAAUAAUGAAAAUAAUAAAAAAAUGAAAAGAAUGACAAGAAGUCCCCAAAAUAGAGGAUACAUAAACUGACCACAAAUGCGUUGAUACAUAUGAUGGGUUGCGUGAGUGAUGAUUUUUUCUCAUUAAUUUGCUUAGAGGAGCCUUUAAAUAACAUGAUCCCUGCAGAUACCGGGUCAAAACGAGAUAGGGUCAGAUAUAGCUGUGUAUGAAGAAUGACUUACAAUUUUGCUACACAGUAUUGAAAAGAAGUGUGUUAAUGUUAUAUAAGAGUGAGAUAGUUAAAAUAAGAGAAGAAAUUAGUUAAAAUUCACUUAGACAUCAUAUGAAAAAUACCACCUUAAAAUUAAAUGACCCAGAUAGCAAUGGAUGAGAAAUGACUUACAAUUUUGCUGCACAGUAUUGAAAAGAAGUGUGUUAAUGUUAUAUAAGAGUGAGAUAGUUAAAAUAAGAGAAGAAAUGAGUUAAAAUUCACUUAGACAUCAUAUGAAAAAUACCACCUUAAAAUUAAAAGACCCAGAUAGCAAUGUAUGAGAAAUGACUUACAAUUUGCUGAAACACUAGUGACAAGAAAUGUGUUAGAAUGAAAUAAGAGUGAGGUAGUUAAAUGUGAGAAGGAAUGGUUUAAAAUUCAGUUAGACACCAUGAAAAAAUACUGUUAAAAUUAAAUGAGUCUGAUAGCUAUGCAUGAAGGAUGACUUACAAUUUUGCUAAACAGUAUUGAAGGGAAGUGUGUUAGAAUGAUAUAAGAGUGAGAUAGCUAAAUAUGAGAAGGAAUGGUUUAAAAUUAAGUGAAAAAAUACUACUAUGUUAAAAUUAAAUGAGUCUGAUAGCUAUAUAUGAAGAAUGACUUACAAUUUUGCUUAACAGUAUUGACAAGAAAUAUGUUAGAGUGAAAUAAGAGUGAGAUAGUUAAAUAUGAGAAGGAAUGGUUUAAAAUUAAGUGAAAAAAUACUACUAUGUUAAAAUUAAAUGAGCCUGAUAGCUAUGUAUGAAGGAUGACUUACAAUUUUGCUAAACAGUAUUGAAAGAAAGUGUGUUAGAAUGAUAUAAGAGUGAGAUAGUUAAAUAUGAGAAGGAAUGGUUUAAAAAUUAAGUGAAAAAAUACUACUGUGUUAAAAUUAAAUGAGCCUGAUAGCUAUGUAUGAAGGAUGACAUACAAUUUUGCUAAACAGUAUUGAAAGAAAGUGUGUUAGAAUGAAAUAAGAGUGAGGUAGUUAAAUAUGAGAAGGAAUGGUUUAAAAUUUAGUUAGACACCAUGAAAAAAUUACUAUGUUAAAGCCAAAUGAGUCAGAUAGAUAGAUAGAUAGAUAGAGUGAGAUACUUAAAUAUGAGAAUGUACGACUUAGAAUUUACUUGACUUAACGUUAUAAUCAUUUCAAGUCGAUUGUUUUUAUUAUAUAUCUUUUUUUUUUUGUAUGGUAAGUUACGACAGUUACGAAUUUGACUUGUAUCGAUACAUCUUAUGAAUAUUAACUUCCGAGUGUCGUGUAAUUUUUUUUUUAGGGGAAACUCAAAUGUUGGGUAAAAAUAUUGUGUUUCUUUAAUAGGGAAAUACUGCAACACACUUUAUGAUCUAGUGUUGCGAGUUGUGUUGGUGAGGACUAUUUGUUUGUUCAUGUGUACGUUUGUGUUGUGUGUGCGCAUCUCAGAACAUAUGAUAUUGAGGUGUGUGUGUGUGUGUGUGUGUGUGUGUGUGUGUGUGUGUGUGUGUGUGUGUGUGUGUGUGUGUACAGCAGACUCAUUAACUCUUUUUUUUCAGAUUUCAUGCUUGCCAGAGAGAGAGAGAGAGAGAGAGAGAGAGAGAGCGCAGUGUUAUAUAAGGCAGUGUUUGCAUUAUAAUAGUCGCCCCUGUUCUUGCUGCUGCCAAAACCUCUCUGCUUCUUUUUUAUAUAUCUCCAUCAAAGACCUUUUUCUGUAUACGUAUUUGUAUAUAUUAUGACUUUUUUUGGUUAGUGUGAGUCUUUGUAUGUUAACUAUCGCCUCUUGGAACCUUGGACCCGUGAAACACAAUCUUCCAUAUUCGAUCUUGAUUUCUUUCUUUCUUUCUCUGUAAGUCUUUCGUAGUUGUCUGAUUCUCUCUCUCUGUCUUUCUCUCUCUCUGACUGUCUCACACACACACACACACACACACACACACACACACA